rnacentral:rRNA from 1 species
GAUGAACGCUGGCGGCGUGCCUAAUACAUGCAAGUCGAGCGAACGGACGAGAAGCUUGCUUCUCUGAUGUUAGCGGCGGACGGGUGAGUAACACGUGGAUAACCUACCUAUAAGACUGGGAUAACUUCGGGAAACCGGAGCUAAUACCGGAUAAUAUUUUGAACCGCAUGGUUCAAAAGUGAAAGACGGUCUUGCUGUCACUUAUAGAUGGAUCCGCGCUGCAUUAGCUAGUUGGUAAGGUAACGGCUUACCAAGGCAACGAUGCAUAGCCGACCUGAGAGGGUGAUCGGCCACACUGGAACUGAGACACGGUCCAGACUCCUACGGGAGGCAGCAGUAGGGAAUCUUCCGCAAUGGGCGAAAGCCUGACGGAGCAACGCCGCGUGAGUGAUGAAGGUCUUCGGAUCGUAAAACUUUGUUAUUAGGGAAGAACAUAUGUGUAAGUAACUGUGCACAUCUUGACGGUACCUAAUCAGAAAGCCACGGCUAACUACGUGCCAGCAGCCGCGGUAAUACGUAGGUGGCAAGCGUUAUCCGGAAUUAUUGGGCGUAAAGCGCGCGUAGGCGGUUUUUUAAGUCUGAUGUGAAAGCCCACGGCUCAACCGUGGAGGGUCAUUGGAAACUGGAAAACUUGAGUGCAGAAGAGGAAAGUGGAAUUCCAUGUGUAGCGGUGAAAUGCGCAGAGAUAUGGAGGAACACCAGUGGCGAAGGCGACUUUCUGGUCUGUAACUGACGCUGAUGUGCGAAAGCGUGGGGAUCAAACAGGAUUAGAUACCCUGGUAGUCCACGCCGUAAACGAUGAGUGCUAAGUGUUAGGGGGUUUCCGCCCCUUAGUGCUGCAGCUAACGCAUUAAGCACUCCGCCUGGGGAGUACGACCGCAAGGUUGAAACUCAAAGGAAUUGACGGGGACCCGCACAAGCGGUGGAGCAUGUGGUUUAAUUCGAAGCAACGCGAAGAACCUUACCAAAUCUUGACAUCCUUUGACAACUCUAGAGAUAGAGUCUUCCCCUUCGGGGGACAAAGUGACAGGUGGUGCAUGGUUGUCGUCAGCUCGUGUCGUGAGAUGUUGGGUUAAGUCCCGCAACGAGCGCAACCCUUAAGCUUAGUUGCCAUCAUUAAGUUGGGCACUCUAAGUUGACUGCCGGUGACAAACCGGAGGAAGGUGGGGAUGACGUCAAAUCAUCAUGCCCCUUAUGAUUUGGGCUACACACGUGCUACAAUGGACAAUACAAAGGGCAGCGAAACCGCGAGGUCAAGCAAAUCCCAUAAAGUUGUUCUCAGUUCGGAUUGUAGUCUGCAACUCGACUACAUGAAGCUGGAAUCGCUAGUAAUCGUAGAUCAGCAUGCUACGGUGAAUACGUUCCCGGGUCU